rnacentral:lncRNA from 1 species
ACUAGGUUGCCUGUCUUUUUGAAAAAAACACUGACUCAAGAACAAGAAAUAUAUGUCUGCAUUUUACUUCGAUGGUUUCUAAACUGUUUUCCAUGUAAUUAUAAAAUUAUUGAUCCCAUUGUCAGUUACAGAUUUCUUAAAUUCUUAUAAUUUCUGGUACAGCAGUUGACAGGGCUGCAAUUUCUCUAACCAUGCUUAGGUAUCUCAAUGAACAUAUCUUCCUCUAACCACCCACACAUUCUUUAUAUUUAUAUCCAUGCUCAUGUGAGAUAUUAGUUUAUAAUAUUAAUUUAAUAUCUAUAUCUCAUUUAUAUUUCAGGGUGAUGUUGGCCUCAUAUAACUCAACUUUAUAGAAUUCUCUGUGAAGUAUUAUUUCUUCUUUAAAUCUUUGGUAGAAAUCAUCAGUGAAGCCAUCUGAGUCUUGACUUUUAUUUGUGGAAAUUUGAUAAAUUUGUGUUUAACCUCAAAUUUAAUUUACUUAAUAGGUAUAUGGAUAUUUGAGUCAUCUAUUUCUUAUCAAGAGCAGUAUUGAUGUCCCCUCUUUCAUUCUUGACAUUGUUAUUUGAAAGUAUGCAGUUUAGUUUCAAGGGAUUACAGCAUUUCAAGGUAUCUUUAUAUUUUUUGAUCUCCAUUUUAAUAAUAUUGCUUUCAAAGAAUAUACUUUGUAUAUUAUUCAACCCUUAAAAUGAAUUUACACUUGUUCGUAGCUCAGAGUGUGAUAAGUGCACCUGAAAAUACUGAAUAUUGUACUACUUUUCAGUAAAAUGUUUUAUAAAUGUAAUUUAGGUCAAGUUCAAGUGUUUCAUACAUAGAGUUUCUGUCUAACAUUCUAUUAAUUAUUGAGAGUGAAGUGCUGAAACAUCCAAUCUUUAAGAAUUUGCCUAAUUUUGUUUUUCACAUGUCAGUUUUUGUUCCAUUUAUUUUGAAAUACUUUUAUUAGGUACCUGAUUAUUUAGAAAUUUUGUUUAUACUUGUUUCAGUCAGUUUGGGAUGCUAUAACAAAUAUACCAUAGACUGUGUGGCUUAAAAAAAAAACAAGUAUUUAUUUCUCAUAAUUCUGGAGACUGGGAUACCUAAUACUAAGGUUUAGUUUCGAGAGAUUCGAGUAUUUCCAGAAAUCUUUAUAUUUUUUGAUUUCCACUUUAAUAACAUUGUUGUCAAAUUACAUACUUUGUGUAACAUACACCUCUAAAAUGAAUUUACACUUGUUUGUAGCCCAGAGUGUGAACUACCUUAGUAUAUUAGUGCACAUGAAAAUACUGAAUAUUGUACAGCCUGUAAAUCUACAUUAUAGACUGUGUGGCUUAAACAACAAGUAUUUACUUCUCAUAAUUGUGAAGACUGGGAUGCUCAAUAUCAAGGUGCCCAGAGACCUGCUGUCUGGUGAAAACUCACUUCCUAAUUUGCAGUUGGCUGUUUUCUUUUUGCCUCAUCAAAUGACAGACAGCAGAGAGAAAGAGAAGGAGAGCAGUUUUCAACAUAUUAAUUUUAGGAGAAUACAAACAUGUAGUCAAUAAAAUUCUUCUCCUAGCUCACCAAAUACAUGUUUUUCUCAAAUGCAAAAUACAAUCAUUUUAUCCCAAUAGCCCUGAAACACUUAACUCUUUCCAUCAACAACUCUAAAAUACAAAGGCCAAAGUCUCAUCUAAAUAUUAUGUAAAUCAGUUAUAGGUGAGAUUUGAGGUAAAACUUAUCUAAAAGUUAAAUUGCUUUAUAGCUGUGAAUCUGUGAAAACAAACAAGUUAUGUGCUUCCAAAAUACAGGAGUGUGAAAGGCAUAAGAUAGAUAUUCCCAUUCCAAAAGGGAGAAAUAAAAAAGAAGAAAGGAAUGACGGGUCUCAAGCAAGUCCCAAACAUACACAGUCAAACUCUACCAAGUCUUAUCUGAGAAUAGUUUUAUUUCUCCUGAUGCUCUGCCUUCUAGACCCACUGGGGGAAUGGUCCUACCUGCAUCGUUUUAAAGGGUAGGUGUCCUGCACCUGCAGAUCUCAGUGGCACUGGUGCUACCUUUUGAAACUCAGGUGGAGACAGCCUCAUGAUCUAACUACCUCCCAAAGACCUAAACUCUUAAUACCAUCAUAUUGUGAGUUAGUAUUUCAACAUAUGAUUUUGGGGGAACACAGCCAUUCAGUCCAUAAUCGUUGUCUUAUUGAAUUGACACUGUUAUGAUUCUUAAAUGACAUCUUUAUCUCAGGUUAUAUUUGUUCUAAAAUUUACUUCUGAGUACUGGAUUAGAAACAUUUGCAUGAGUUCUGAUGAACCUAAACACUCUGAAUUCCGAAGUCCCAUCAAACCUCCUCCAGCAGAAACAGCAGGUAACAAUCUCAUUUAAGAAAGAUUAGAUGCCAGAAUUUUUCUGGAGGUUUUAAAGGAACAGAUACAUUGAUGUUCCUUAUUCCUGAGUGUU